rnacentral:rRNA from 1 species
UAGGGAAUCUUCGGCAAUGGGGGGAACCCUGACCGAGCAACGCCGCGUGAGUGAAGAAGGUUUUCGGAUCGUAAAACUCUGUUGUUAGAGAAGAACAGCGCAUAGAGUAACUGUUAUGCGUGUGACGGUAUCUAACCAGAAAGCCACGGCUAACUACGUGCCAGCAGCCGCGGUAAUACGUAGGUGGCAAGCGUUGUCCGGAUUUAUUGGGCGUAAAGCGAGCGCAGGCGGUCAAUUAAGUCUGAUGUGAAAGCCCCCGGCUCAACCGGGGAGGGUCAUUGGAAACUGGUUGACUUGAGUGCAGAAGAGGAGAGUGGAAUUCCAUGUGUAGCGGUGAAAUGCGUAGAUAUAUGGAGGAACACCAGUGGCGAAGGCGACUCUCUGGUCUGUAACUGACGCGGAGGCUCGAAAGCGUGGGUAGCAAACAGG